rnacentral:tmRNA from 1 species
GGGGCUGACUUGGCUUUGACAGCGUGUAGAGGUGGUAAGCAAGCAUGCAGAGCAACGAUGGCCGAGGCUCUUUAAUAUCAGUCAUCACUAAAUUUAACUGGCGAAAACACUUACGCUCUCGCUGCUUGAUCGAAGUAUAGUAGAUCGGCUUUAUCCCUGCCCAAGGAUGGUAGGGACGAGACAUCACCCGGUGGCCCUCUCGCCGAGGCUUAUCGACAAGGUGGUGCUAGCAUAUCGGUGAUAGGACGACGCCUGCCUCGAGCAACGUCCAAAACCUUAGAGGUUAAGCCUGGCGGUUGGUGGUCAUGAGCCUGCCCCAGGACGAAAAUCAAGUCACGACUAAGCAUGUAGAAAACUUAUUAGUUCCACGUUUGGACGAGGGUUCAAACCCCUCCAGCUCCACA